rnacentral:rRNA from 1 species
UACGGGGGGUGCGAGCGUUGUCCGGAAUCACUGGGCGUAAAGCGCACGUAGGCGGACUCUUAAGUCGGUGGUGAAAUCCUGGAGCUCAACUCCAGAACUGCCUUCGAUACUGAGAGUCUCGAGUCCGGGAGAGGUGAGUGGAACUGCGAGUGUAGAGGUGAAAUUCGUAGAUAUUCGCAAGAACACCAGUGGCGAAGGCGGCUCACUGGCCCGGUACUGACGCUGAGGUGCGAAAGCGUGGGGAGCAAACAGG